AAAAAGUUUCAGAAGAAGAAUUUCUCCCCACUCUGAGUGUGUUAACCAUUGACGCAGAAAGAAAUUUAGUGUUUGCCCUUGUUUCUUGUAUUUCUCCCCCCAUCCUGAUAUUCUCUGUUUUAGAAUCUGAAGUCAUCAGAAUGCUGCAUUUGUGACCUCCUAGUGUGGUGCGAUGGAAGCGAUUCUAAUGGCACAACAUCAGCGUUGUAACCUAACAUUUAAGUUUCUAUCUGGUGCCCUGCACCGUAGUAGCUGAGUUGCUCAGACAAGUUAUCCUCCCACACCACUCAGCGGUAUUCCCACUCCAGGGGGAACUGAGGCUCAGGUCCAUCUAUCUAUAGAGGUAUGUGAUUUCUGGCUGCCUCGCAGGCCUUCAUACAGUGAUGCUCACAACAGCCCAGUGACGAAGGAGAAACAUUAUUUUGAGGAACUGAGUCACAGAGAAUAAAUGACUGGCCCAAAACUACCAACUUUCUCCACUAGAGUCUCCACAUAGUAUCUUCUCCUUUGAAGACACCAUGAUCAAGUCACUACAGAUAGAAUCUCACAGCGAAAUACUGGAGCCAUCAGAAGAAUUGUUUCCUUUGUGGAAGCAAUUCUCACCUUCCCAACUUGGAAAAGCCCAAUUCUACAGGAUAAGAACAUGGGACUUUUCCAUCUAGUUUAUUACCCUGUCUCUGCUCGUUGCUAGUACCAGCUGUUCCAGAGGAAAGUGCAAGCGACCCUGCAAUGGACAGUCGAGGGAGGACCCAGAGUUUGGCUUAUA